CAGGAGGCUGGGAUAUGGAAGUCCUUCUUCCCAGUGUGAAAACGCCAAACAGAAGGACAGGAGGAAGCAUCACGUGCAGAAUGUGAGUCCAUUGCUCCAGUUGUCUGUGUGUUACCUAUGAAUGCAGGUCCACAGUUCAAAGGCAGGAAGCUUCAUCACUUUGAAGAGUCUCUUAUCAACUGGAAGGCAUGGCCCAAAGGACACCAGGAAAAAAGUCUAUCUGAGAUUGUUGUUGUUUUCCAGUGUACAGGAAAAUACGCUUUUCUGUUUCAAUACAUCUGCAUCAUAAUCAUGGCAACUGAAGGUAGGUUUCAAGGGACUUUUGGUAACCAUGCAACUUUGACAGCAAAAGUUUAGCACAAUUUAAUAUGUCUGAUAAAAGUUGAUAAAUAUCCUUUGGUUGAUUACUCUUUAUUCACUAAGCAUAAUUCAUCAAGGUACUUGUGCUACCAGGAUCCAAACACGCAUUUCAAGAGAUGUCUGUGAUGCUUCUGGAUGUGUCAUUUUUUUUUUUACUCAUUUGUAAAUCACUUGUAAUUAAUUAGUCCCCUCCAAUUCUCUUUCUCUGAGAUUAAACAAGUCCUCCUGU